AAAAAGCCGGAUGCAGCCAUUGUUCUCAAAGCACUUGGACUUGGGUUUGCUGAGCCACGUGGCCACACAGGCAGGGAGAUGAGAAGGCCAUGCUUGAGCUGAGCGGAAGACCUGGAAGAAUGAAAAGGAAGAGGAGAAGGAAAGCAUUCUGGUCAAAAGAACAGAAGGAGGCAAGUACCGGGGCCGGAGUGCAGAGAAAGAGAGGUGAGGAGGAGAGGCUGGAGCUACUCCCCUGCAUCCCAGGAGGCAAGGUAGAUCCCAGAAAUGCUGAAAUCAUCCUUUAGAGGAUUUUCUUUAUCUUCUGAGGAAGGCCAGCUGGAACCUUCUGAAAUGAUUCCCAUUCAGCAUGCAGCCACAGGCAGUA